AGAGUUUGAUCCUGGCUCAGGAUGAACGCUGGCGGCGUGCCUAAUACAUGCAAGUCGAGCGGUAAGGCUUUCACUCUGUAUUUAAUGAGUUGAAUAUAGUGUGAAAGUACACGAGCGGCGGACGGCUGAGUAAACGCGUAGGAACGUACCCCAAAGUGAGGGAUAAGCACCGGAAACGGUGUCUAAUACCGCAUGUGAUCUUCGGAUUAAAGCUUUAUGCGCUUUGGGGAGCGGCCUGCGUAAGAUUAGUUUGUUGGUGAGGUAAUGGCUCACCAAGACUACGAUCUUUAGCUGGUCUGAGAGGAUGAUCAGCCAGACUGGGACUGAAACACGGCCCAGACUCCUACGGGAGGCAGCAGUAGGGAAUUUCCACAAUGGACGAAAGUCUGAUGGAGCAACGCCGCGUGCAGGAUGAAGGCCUUCGGGUUGUAAACUGCUUUUAUCUGUGACGAUUAUGACGGUAGCAGAUGAAUAAGGAUCGGCUAACUCCGUG
rnacentral:rRNA from 1 species